rnacentral:rRNA from 1 species
AUGCCCGAAAGGUAUAAAAUUUCGCCAACUUCUUUGUUCUUGUUAUUUUUUAAAUGCAUACAUAUAGAUAGCUUAUUUGCAUUGUUCUACAUACUUUGUAGUGUCAACGAUGAUGCAUACAUGUCAACUAUGGGCGUUGGCUCCAACAAUUCGCAUUGGUCUCAAACCAAUGACAUGCAUUUUGAAGACCAUGAGUUCGAGGUGGACGAGGAUGGUGAGGGCAUUGUCGACGCACCGAAGGGAAGAGCGGGCAACUACACCAACGACGAAGAUGACGUGCUAUGCAAAACUUGGUUGGACGUGUCGAGGGAUCCGUCCGUUGCAGGUGAUCAAAGUAGAGAUGCUUAUUGA